rnacentral:rRNA from 1 species
CCUUCGGGUUGUAAAGCUCUUUCGGCGGGGACAAAAAGGCGACUGCGAAUAACGGUCGUUCAUGAUGGUACCCGAAGAAGAAGCACCGGCUAACUACGUGC